AGGAUAUUUUCUAUCUCUUGGACUGAAGAAAUACCAUUCUUGUUCUCCAAAUGUCGCCUUAGCAGGUAGUUCCCAAGGAUCAAAUUUGUAAAGAUCAACUUCAGCAAUAAUAGAAACAGGAAGAGGAACAGAGGCAACUCUUUUCUUAAGAUAAUGAACCACAAGCUCUUCAUCAGUUGGAUGAAAUCGAAAUCCAGGUGGCAAUUGUGGUUGAUGAUGAGAGCCGGUUGAUGAAUCGGUACUCUCCAUGACCACAAUAUUAUUUGAUAAAAAUUUUCAAAUAUAUUUAAUCAGAGCGACCUGAUUAUAAAACUAUAUAAUAAAAAUAAUAAUAAAAAAA
rnacentral:misc_RNA from 1 species